GGGUGGGGUGCAGCUUCUCGUACUGACGGAAGACAACUUUUUUUACGCUCUUCAGAGUUGAUGGGAGUGCUGAACUUGCCGGUACUGUACAGCAUUUAGGGCAGUAGUGAAGGCAGCAACAUGACGUACUAAGGGAGGUCAGUUCUGUCAUCACUUCGCUCACAGUUCUGAAGCAAGAGGAACGCGAAUGCUCCCAGCCAAGCGAGCCAACACUGCAACUUUGCACUGAACGGGAGGCGUAUCUAACUCCGCACAUCUUAAGAGUGAAGAAACUUGCCGUCCAGCCUGACCUGUGAGUGCCCAAACGUGCUUGAUCACGUGACCUGACAAUUUGAAGCCUCAUCUGACAUGAUCUUACCCAGAAGGUCCGGCUGCUCCUUAGCGAUUUGGUCACGUAUCAUUUCGCAGAAUUGCAAUCGGCGAUCUGGGUCUUCCUCCAAAAGGCCAUGCACCAGUCGUGGGAGGUAUGGUUUUUAUUUCACCUUACGCAUUAGGUGUCGCAAGGAUGUUCUUGGUAUGGAUAGUUCCAUUGAAGCGUGUCUUGUGGACUUUUUUGGACUUUACAAAUGUCAAAAGCCAUUCUAGUCUCAUUUUCUUCAGUCAUAGAAGUCUUAAGGCGACCAGAUUUCGGUAAAUUAACCACCGAACGUGUGCUUUCAGAUAUAUUCCUUGUGAUAAAUUGCCUGGGGUGAAGGUGGGAGGGUUAAAGGCUCCUUGCCAUGAUGUGCGCACCUGCUCCGCAUUUUCACACUUCAAUACUGCUUUAGUAUCCACUUUUUGUUCUUGAUUUAAAUUGUUUGCCAUUGGGCACAGUGUCUUAAAAAUUAAAAAAAAAAUGAAAAAAUCGAAACUGAAAUUGGAAAUUGCUUAACAUUUCUAAAACGUAAAUAAGGGAUAUGGAGUACUGGUUUGGAAUAAUGUUUUGGAAUUAUGGUUUGGAUAAAUUAAGUAGAGAACGUGAACAAGUAGUGAAACAAUUGUAAGUGCUUUUGACCCACCCUGUACAUCUAUAAAUGGGCUGGUUAGUCAAGUUAGUCUACUGAAUUUAAUCACAGUAGCAAAUAACGAGCAAGUCUCUGGGCACAAAAUUACGUUAAUUCUAGUGUUUUAACUGCAAUCUAAGGACACAAGAGAGCAUCAGCAAUUACAUUACAACGACCACUGAUAUGAUUUAUACUAAUUAUGGCUGGCUUCUGAGAGCCUACUUCAUGAUCCUAGCAUUUUUAGACUUCAUAGUAGUAUUUAUAUAGAUAAGAGGAUUGUGGUCUGAGAAUAGUAAUUUUAAAUUGAGAGGUGCCCAAAUACACAUCAAAAUUCUCUAACGACACUACUAGAGCUAAUGUCUUUCUCAAACGUGGCAUAGUAACUCGUAUGUGUUAAGUAAAAGGACUCAAAUGCAACUGUGACAUUUUAUUAGGGCCGCGUGGCCUGGUGGCUAAAGCUCCCGCUUCACACACGGAGGGCCCGGGUUCGA